GAUGAAGAACGUAGCGAAAUGCGAUAAGUAAUGUGAAUUGCAGAAUUCAGUGAAUCAUCGAAUCUUUGAACGCACAUUGCGCCCCCUGGUAUUCCGGGGGGCAUGCCUGUCCGAGCGUCAUUGCUGCCCUCAAGCACGGCUUGUGUGUUGGGCUCCGUCCCCCCGGGGACGGGCCCGAAAGGCAGCGGCGGCACCGAGUCCGGUCCUCGAGCGUAUGGGGCUUUGUCACCCGCUCUGUAGGCCCGGCCGGCGCCAGCCGACAACCCAUCAUCCUUUUCAGGUUGACCUCGGAUCAGGUAGGGAUACCCGCUGAACUUAAGCAUAUCAAAAGCGGAGGA
rnacentral:misc_RNA from 1 species